GAAUAACUUGUGUUGGGUUGUUGCAGGCUCUUCGGAGCAUGUGCACACCUAAUCCAUUUUUUAACCCCCUUGUGCACCUUUUGUAGACCUGAAUAACUCUCGAGGAUACAGCCCUCGAUCUUGAGCAUUGCUGUGUGAAAAUCAGCUUUUCUUGGUUUUCAGGUCUAUGUUCUAUAUUCACACCAUAAGAAUGUAUUAGAAUGUUGUACAUAGGCCUUUUGUGCCUUUAAACACAAAUACAACUUUCAACAACGGAUCUCUUGGCUCUCGCAUCGAUGAAGAACGCAGCGAAAUGCGAUAAGUAAUGUGAAUUGCAGAAUUCAGUGAAUCAUCGAAUCUUUGAACGCACCUUGCACUCCUUGGUAUUCCGAGGAGUAUGCCUGUUUGAGUGUCAUGAAAUUCUCAACCUUUCUGGCUCUUGUGAGACAAGUUAGGCUUGGACAAUGGGAGUUGCUGGUUGUUUCUCUUUACAAUUCAGCUCUUCUUAAAUGCAUUAGCAAGAUCAUGGCUGAUUGUAUUUGGUAUGAUAAUUAUCUAUACCAUGGACAAUCGGUGUCCUUCAUGGAAGAUUUUGCUUCUAAUAGUCUCCACUGAGACAAUAAUAUAUAUGAAAAAUUUGACCUCAAAUCAGGUAGGACUACCCGCUGAACUUAAGCAUAUCAAUAAGCGGAGGAAAAGAAACUAACAAGGAUUCCCCUAGUAACUGCGAGUGAAGCGGGAAAAGCUCAAAUUUAAAAUCUGGUAGUCUUUGGCUAUCCGAAUU
rnacentral:rRNA from 1 species